CCGCUUUUCCUCCCCUUACUGAGCCACACAGCAAAUCUAAGUCUGAAGACUCUCUUCUUACCAGCCUCUGCAUUUAUGUGGAAUUGGCACCGUCAUCAUCGUAGAUCAGGUCUUUGAUGCUGGGAAUUUGUGCUUCUGUGGAGCAGCAGAUGGUGCCUGUAUGAUUCUGCAGGUCAUCAGCCAAUGACGUUCAUGGCGAGUGCCAGGAAAGGAGAGUCUCAGUCACCCUGUGAAACAGAUGUUGCUGUCAUCCUCAUGCUAUUGACAAGCGAAGCUCAGAGAGCAUUCCCUUUGGUAUCCUUGAGCCACCAUGCAAGAGAUCUGGCUAGCCUUUUGGGGUAGCCACUUGGACAGGUGUUGGUCUAACACUAUAGACAACAUCCCAGUUAAGCUUCCAGGUGAUACCAACCUCAGCUCCCAUCUUCAAUAACACAAAAGACUCCAAAAAGGCUAGCAGCAGAAGAAGCAUUUAG
ensembl:lncRNA